UACGUAGGGUGCAAGCGUUGUCCGGAAUUAUUGGGCGUAAAGAGCUCGUAGGCGGUUUGUCGCGUCUGCUGUGAAAACCCGAGGCUCAACCUCGGGCCUGCAGUGGGUACGGGCAGACUAGAGUGCGGUAGGGGAGAUUGGAAUUCCUGGUGUAGCGGUGGAAUGCGCAGAUAUCAGGAGGAACACCGGUGGCGAAGGCGGUUCUCUGGGCCUGUACUGACGCUGAGGAGCGAAAGCGUGGGGAGCAAACAGG
rnacentral:rRNA from 1 species